AUCCCGCGGUAAGGGUAUUUUUGUAGUAACUUUUUAAAUCUUUCUCAUGCUUCAUAUAAGGAUUCAUCACACAAUUGCUAAAAAUUAGUGAUCUUAUUCCACAUCUU
rfam:Gossypium hirsutum cultivar TM-1 chromosome 4, whole genome shotgun sequence